rnacentral:rRNA from 1 species
GCUCAGAGUUAACGCUGGCAGCGUGCAUAACACAUGCAAGUCGAACGGGACAAUCUGCGAUUACAUCAAGGGUUGUUUAGUGGCAGACGAGUGAGUAACACGUAAGGAAUCUGCCCUGGGAUGGGGGAUAACCUGCCGAAAGGUAAGCUAAUACCCCAUACGAUUGUCUGGCGGCAUCGUCGGACAAUGAAAGGCUUCGGCCGUCCUAGGAUGACCUUGCGGCCUAUCAGCUAGUUGGUGAGGUAACGGCCCACCAAGGCUAUGACGGGUACCCGGCCUAAAAGGGCGAACGGGCACGGAGGCACUGAGACACGGGCCUCACUCCUACGGGAGGCAGCAGUGGGGAAUUUUGGACAAUGGGGGAAACCCUGAUCCAGCAACGCUGCGUGAGGGACGAAGGCCUUCGGGUCGUAAACCUCUUUUCCAAGGGACGAAAUCCCGCAAGGGUCUGACGGUACUUUGGGAAUAAGCCCCGGCUAAAUAUGUGCCAGCAGCCGCGGUAAGACAUAUGGGGCGAGCGUUACUCGGAAUCACUAGGCGUAAAGCGCGUGUAGGUGGAUGCCUAAGUCCGUUGUGAAAUCUCCCGGCUCAACUGGGAGCGGUCAGCGGAAACUGGGCGUCUAGAGUGAGGUAGGGGGCAUCGGAAUUCCUGGUGUAACGGUGAAAUGUUCAGAUAUCAGGAGGAACACCGACGGCGAAAGCAGAUGCCUGGGCCUCCACUGACGCUGAGACGCGAAAGCUAGGGGAGUAAACAGGAUUAGAUACCCUGGUAAUCCUAGCCGUAAACGAUGAUAACUAGGUGUGGGAGGUAUCGACCCCUCCUGUGCCGACGCUAACGCAUUAAGUUAUCCGCCUGGGGAGUACGGCCGCAAGGUUAA